rnacentral:lncRNA from 1 species
AGACAGGGGCAGCACCCCCUGUUUGCUGCCUUUCCAGGGAGGGCAGCACGAGAAAGAAAGAGGGAGGCAAGCGAAAUUCCUGAAUGGAUAGACAGAUGCUACGUCAUCGGAGCCGCAUCCUCCACUCCACAAGAGGCUAGGAGCCGGAGAAAGAGGCAGGCCAGCGGCAGGGGCCACCGAGCCAGCGCGCCUCCUCCCAGAAGCCGGAGCAGAGCAUCGGAGAAGAAGCAGCCUCAUUUGCUUCUGGUGUCAUCGAACCUUCCUGACCCAGGGAUUGAACUUGCCUCUCCUGCUUCUCCUGUAUCGGCAGGCAGAUUCUUUACCACUGAGCCACCUGGGAAGCCCUACUAGCUGCGUGGCCUUAGGAAAUUUCAUGAUCUUGCUUAUUCCUGUCUUGGAAAAUCCUUUCCAAUGUCUAACCAAGAUCUGUACUGCUGAAGUACCAGUUCUUUGACCUAUGGCUUGACAUGGCUGAUUUGAGAGGUACAGCUUCCCACCACCCAGGAAGGAAGGAACUGGCCUGGAUUUUGGCAACCUCUUGCUUGUGGGAGGAAGGCCACGCCUUCUCAGGUGCAGGGGUGAAGUCUGAGGAAUGCUAAAACAGACCUUGCAGGUUGAAGAUGUGGCUGGGGAAGAAGCCACAGGAGCUGUAGAAGUCAACAAAAUCUUUUCAGACCAAAAAGAAGAACCUACUUCAUCCAGUUGGCUUCAGUGCCCUGUGAGAAGCCUUCCUGAUUGACGGAAAGAUGAGACUAAAUUCUAGCAAGUUGAGUGGCUCCUUCAAGAAGCCUGUGUGCAGGGUAGAAGUGGAGAGGCCAUAGCCUCCAGCCUGGGCAGCCCAUUGGCACCUGGAGCCACCUCAACUUUGCCUCCCCUUUGCUCCUGUGUCUAUAAGCUGCCCAGCCCAGCCCGUCCUGGUUUCUCCUGUGUCUUCUGAGCUGAGAUUUCUCUGAGAUGGAAGCCCCAUCCCAUGUCUAAUAAAGACUCUUGAAUACUGAA